rnacentral:misc_RNA from 1 species
AGAUGAUCGAAUUGGAAGAUGAAGAGAAAUUAUCAUUAUUAAUACUCUUCAGAAAAUCCAAACCAGCUAAAACGGAUUCUCAACAAAGUGAAAACACCAAUGGAUUAUAGUUGAUAAAAUGAUCCCUUUUCAAGUGGCUGCAAAUCCUCUGCGAUUCCCAACAACAAACCUCUCCUUCACCGCCUGCUUCGCAUGUUGAUCCCACAAGCUACAUCCAUCAAGUUGAACCGUUAACUUGAAGGGUGCAACAUCGGUAGCCAGCCACUGAUUAACAUAGAAGAUGGUCUGGCUGCACUCCUUGUGAGGCCCAGUGGAGGUGACCUCGAUGUAAUCACAGUACCAGCCAUGGUGCGACCCUGAGCCAUCAGAGGUCAAGUUGAGGCGGCAGACGGGUGAGCCGAUGCAGGGGCCGCGGCCGCUAAAGAUAUCGAGGUUACCACGCUCAUAGUAGUCGUGGGAGGGUCCCAUUAGGCCCCAGGAUUGAAGGUCUGGGAACCAAACAGAGCGGCCUUGUGGAUCACCGAGGGCCACGCUGAUCUUGGAAUCGGUUCCAGCCUUGAUGAUGGAUCCGGUCUUGACGUAGAGGGUGUAAACGCAUUCGUCGCUAUGAUCUCCAGCAGCAGCAGAGAUGAGCGCGAUCAAGAGUACUGUGGUGUAGAGACUCUUCUUCAUUUCUUUAUCUGCCUCACAGCUUUGGACUUUGUGAACUACGAGUAGAUUUUUGGGGCGUGAUUUGAAGGCUUAAUU